rnacentral:rRNA from 1 species
UACGUAGGAGGCGAGCGUUGUCCGGAGUUACGUGGGCGUAAAGGGUGCGCAGGUGGCCGUGCGCGUGGGGAGUGAAACUCGCCUGGCUUAACGUGGGCGGGGGCUUUCCAGACGGCGCGGGCUUGAGCCACAGAGGGGGGCGUGGAAUUCCGGGUGGAGCGGUGAAAUGCGUAGAGAUCCGGAGGAACACCGACGGCGUAGGCAGCGCCCUGGCUGUGAAUAAAGCUGACACUGAAGGCACGGAAAGCGAUGGGGAGCCAAACAGG